rnacentral:lncRNA from 1 species
GUCCCCGUGUGCUGGAAGUUCCGCAUACCUAUGAGGUACUUAGCAGUUAUCACGAACAUGCAGAGCCGCAUAGCAGUCUUCAAAUACUGGAACUGAACCUGCGUACUGCCGAAGAAGGUCCACCUGAUCUUUCUCCGCGUGGUUUUUAGAGUAAUCUUCAAAGUGGAGAGGAACUUGGAUGCAAAGAGGUGACAGAACCCUGCUACUCAUCUUUGAGGAACACUACUUGGCUGUCCUGGCAAAGCAGUAGCUGAAGACUGGUCUCAGAUACGCUUCUAAAAUUUAAAUUAUCUUUUAAUGUGUUUGUUUUGUAUGUGUGCAUGUGUGCGGGCAUGCCUUUGCCAGGGUAGGCAUGUGGAGGAGAUCUGGGAAGGGGGACGGCUUCAGUCAGUUCUUCUAUGCGGGUCCUGGGCAUCGGCUCAUCAGGCUAGAUGACACGUGCCUGUACCUGCUAAGCCAUUUCAGUGUUGCCUCCCUCAGAUAGUUUUCAAUUUGGCCCAAACCGCAGCAUUUUAAAUAACACGCUAGAGGCUCGUCGCUCGUUUUUCUAUGUUAGGGAUCGCUGCCUAGGUAGGUCACUGAAAAACAUCUGGCUUCACAUAUAGAGAGAAUAUUCUGUGCUCCCUGCUUCAGGAGUAGGGUGGUGAGCACUCAUGGCUCUUCAGUGAUGCCCUUUGUAAUUUUCGCAGUGCCAGGGUUUGAACUCAGUGUUCCCAUAGUCUUCGAUAUUUUUUUCCCUUUCUGAAACAGGGUCUCCUGUUUUUUUUUUUGUUUGUUUGUUUUUUGUUUUUGUUUUUGUUUUUGUUUUUUCGAGACAGGGUUUCUCUGUAUAGCCCUGGCUGUC